GACGGGUGAGUAAUGUCUGGGAAACUGCCUGAUGGAGGGGGAUAACUGCUGGAAACGGUAGCUAAUACCGCAUAACGUCGAAAGACCAAAGAGGGGGACCUUCGGGCCUCUUGCCAUCGGAUGUGCCCAGAUGGGAUUAGCUUGUUGGUGGGGUAAUGGCUCACCAAGGCGACGAUCCCUAGCUGGUCUGAGAGGAUGACCAGCCACACUGGAACUGAGACACGGUCCAGACUCCUACGGGAGGCAGCAUG
rnacentral:rRNA from 1 species